CCAUGCCAGCAUCCAAGAGCACUGAACAUCGGUCUGGACUGUGAAAUGAAUCAUUAUCUAAUGGCAGCAGCAUAUACCAGAGAGCGUCUAAGUGUCAUCUAGGGUCUGUGUCUGCUGUGUAUUUAGUUGUAUAACGGUGCAUUAGGCGCUGUGUUCCCACGAGAUGUCUCUUCACAUUGAAGCCUCCAGCGUGAAGAGACAGCCCUAGGGUGGCGUUCAACCCUCCCGCUCCUAACAGCGGCUGCGUGUCGUCUGUCAGACGAAAGACGACGGAGACUCUGAGGCCGUCAAAUACAAUAAGCGCGUGUGUCCGUUAAAAACCGAAGAAACGAGAGCGGACUGGGGGAAAGGUAAAGAAAGGAUCGGUGAAAAAAGGACCUGAGCCCUAGGACCAUGCCUCAGGACUACCUGGCAUGAUGACUCCUUGCUGUCCCCAGUCCACCUGGCCGUGCUGCUGCUCCAGUUUCAACUGUUCUGCCUGCGGCUAUGGAACACUGACCUGUUCACCGAACGUGCUAUCUGUCCCAGGCCUGCUCUUUUAAACUCUCUAGAGACAGCAGGAGCGGUAGAGAUACUCUUAAUGAUCGGCUAUGAAAAGCCAACUGACAUUUACUCCUGCUGACUUGCUGCACCCCCGACAACUACUGUGAUAAUUAUUAUUUUAUCAUGCUGGUCAUUUAUGAACAUCUUGGCCAUGUUCCUGUUAUAAAAAUCCACCCGGCACAGCCAGAAGAGGACUGGCCACCCCUCAUAGCCUGGUUCCUCUCUAGGUUUUGGUGCUUCUACACCUGCAUUGCUUGCUGUUUGGGGGUUUAGGCUGGGUUUCUGUACAGCACUUUGAGAUAUCAGCUCUAUAAAUAAAUCCAUUUGAUUUGAUAACUGGUUUUCAGUUUCCCCCUCCCCCACUCAGACCACUCCCAGACAGUCCUAGCAAAAUCCCUGCUUGAGAAAUAGUUUUUUGCUAAAAAAACAAACAUUUGAAUGGAAAUCUAUUACAGUAAGGUACUUAAUUGUUACUCAGAAAUGAUUUGAUUGUGAUACAAAGAAAUGGCUGCAUUGGGCCUUUAAGGAGAGACUGUUUGAAGAGAGACAGAAAGUGAAAGGCAAAGAUUAAAAUAGAAUGACCUCCGGUAUAAAAAAAAAAGUUGUAACUGACACAUGAAAGAACAUCUCUUGAAAUUUCCAUUUGAAGACGUAAAUGGUGUCCAUUCAGGCAGGUCUAUAUGCACUAGUUCUGUACUAUAUGUCUGUCUGAACCUGUUCCUCUCAUCCAUCACACAGCAGGAACACAUGCCCUCCAGUAUACUAUACCCAGGUUCUUAAAUCCUGCCACUGGAGACCCACAUUUCUUUAUUCAUUUACUCUUUUAGCGUCAUAUUGUCAUAUUAUUCUUGUUACUAGGUAUUGUUUGUUUGUUUUUCAUUUGGAAACUCUUGAAAACGAGAUGGUGCAUCUCAAGACAUUUCAUCCUGCAAAUGAUUUAAAAAAAAAAAAAACAUUUAGCCAGGUAA